rnacentral:rRNA from 1 species
AAACCCGAAUUGAAUGGCUCGGUGAGGCCUUCGGACUGGCCCAGGGAGGUCGGCAACGACCACCCAGGGCCGGAAAGUUGGUCAAACCCGGUCAUUUAGAGGAAGUAAAAGUCGUAACAAGGUCUCCGUAGGUGAACCUGCGGAGGGAUCAUU